GAUGAACGCUGGCGGCGUGCCUAAUACAUGCAAGUCGAGCGAACGGACGAGAAGCUUGCUUCUCUGAUGUUAGCGGCGGACGGGUGAGUAACACGUGGAUAACCUACCUAUAAGACUGGGAUAACUUCGGGAAACCGGAGCUAAUACCGGAUAAUAUUUUGAACCGCAUGGUUCAAAAGUGAAAGACGGUCUUGCUGUCACUUAUAGAUGGAUCCGCGCUGCAUUAGCUAGUUGGUAAGGUAACGGCUUACCAAGGCAACGAUGCAUAGCCGACCUGAGAGGGUGAUAGGCCACACUGGAACUGAGACACGGUCCAGACUCCUACGGGAGGCAGCAGUAGGGAAUCUUCCGCAAUGGGCGAAAGCCUGACGGAGCAACGCCGCGUGAGUGAUGAAGGUCUUCGGAUCGUAAAACUCUGUUAUUAUGGAAGAACAUAUGUGUAAGUAACUGUGCACAUCUUGACGGUACCUAAUCAGAAAGCCACGGCUAACUACGUG
rnacentral:rRNA from 1 species